GACGAACCGUGCGAACGUUAUUCGGAAUCACUGGGCUUAAAGCGCGUGUAGGCGGGCGGCACGUCGGUCGCUGAAAUCCCCCGGCUCAACCGGGGAACGGGCGCCGAUACGACCGCCCUCGAGGGACGUAGGGGGACCUGGAACUUCCGGUGGAGCGGUGAAAUGCGUUGAGAUCGGAAGGAACGCCCGUGGCGAAAGCGAGGUCCUGGACGUCUUCUGACGCUGAGACGCGAAAGCCAGGGGAGCGAACGGG
rnacentral:rRNA from 1 species